UUGGAGGGCAAGUCUGGUGCCAGCAGCCGCGGUAAUUCCAGCUCCAAUAGCGUAUAUUAAAGUUGCUGCAGUUAAAAAGCUCGUAGUUGAAUUUCGGGACCAAUAUGUCGGUCGUGCCUCGGUACGUACCGGCAUCGUUGGUUUCUCCCUUCUGACGAACCAUGAUGUCAUUUAUUUGGUGUCGUGGGGAAUCAGGACUGUUACUUUGAAAAAAUUAGAGAGUUUAAAGCAGGCUCACGCUUGAAUACAUUAGCAUGGAAUAAUGAAAUAGGACGUUUGAUUCUAUUUUGUUGGUUUCUAGGAUCGACGUAAUGAUUAAUAGGGAUAGUUGGGGGCAUUAGUAUUCAAUUGUCAGAGGUGAAAUUCUUGGAUUUAUUGAAGACUAACUACUGCGAAAGCAUUUGCCAAGGAUGUUUUCAUUUAUCAAGAACGAAAGUUAGGGGAUCGAAGACGAUCAGAUACCGUCGUAGUCUUAACCAUAAACUAUGCCGACUAGGGAUCGGAUGAUGUUAAUUUUUUAAUGACUCAUUCGGCGCCUUACGGGAAACCAAAGUGUUUGGGUUC
rnacentral:rRNA from 1 species